UACGUAGGGUGCGAGCGUUUGUCCGGAUUUAUUGGGCGUAAAGAGCGUGUAGGCGGUUAGAUAGGUCCGUUGUGAAAACUCGAGGCUCAACCUCGAGACGUCGGUUGAAACCGUGUGGCUAGAGUCCGGAAGAGGAGAGUGGAAUUCCCGGUGUAGCGGUGAAAUGCGCAGAUAUCGGGAAGAACACCCGUGGCGAAGGCGGCUCUCUGGGACGGUACUGACGCUGAGACGCGAAAGCGUGGGGAGCGAACAGG
rnacentral:rRNA from 1 species